UUGUUCCCGUAUAAACUAUUUUGGAGGAUUACCCAAGUCCGGCUGAAGGGAACGGUCUUGAAAACCGUCAGGCGUGGAAAAGCGUGCGUGGGCGUUAAUGGGUGAGAGCGUGCCUUUUGUAGAAUGAACCGGCGAGUUACGUUAUGAUGCGAGGUUAAGUUGAAGAGACGGAGCCGUAGGGAAACCGAGUCUGAAUAGGGCGCCUUAGUAUCAUGACGUAGACCCGAAACCAUGUGACCUACCCAUGAGCAGGUUGAAGGUGCGGUAAGACGCACUGGAGGACCGAACCAGGGCACGUUGAAAAGUGCUUGGAUGACUUGUGGGUAGCGGAGAAAUUCCAAACGAACUUGGAGAUAGCUGGUUCUCUCCGAAAUAGCUUUAGGGCUAGCGUCGACAUUAGAGAUUCUUGGAGGUAGAGCACUGUUUGGGUGAGGGGUCCAUCCCGGAUUACCAAUCUCAGAUAAACUCCGAAUGCCAAUGAAUUAUGGUCGGCAGUCAGACUGCGAGUGCUAAGAUCCGUAGUCGAAAGGGAAACAGCCCAGACCACCAGCUAAGGUCCCAAAAUAAUUGUUAAGUGGAAAAGGAUGUGGGGUUGCACAGACAACUAGGAUGUUAGCUUAGAAGCAGCUAUUCAUUCAAAGAGUGCGUAAUAGCUCACUAGUCGAGUGACCCUGCGCCGAAAAUGUACCGGGGCUAAAACAAUUUACCGAAGCUGUGGAUACCUUUAUAGGUAUGGUAGGAGAGCGUUCUAUGUGUGAUGAAGGUAUACCGUGAGGAGUGCUGGAACGCAUAGAAGUGAGAAUGCCGGUAUGAGUAGCGAAAGACAGGUGAGAAUCCUGUCCACCGUAAGACUAAGGUUUCCAGGGGAAGGCUCGUCCGCCCUGGGUUAGUCGGGACCUAAGGAGAGACCGAAAGGUGUAUCCGAUGGACAACAGGUUGAUAUUCCUGUACUAGAGUAUGUAGUGAUGGAGGGACGCAGUAGGCUAACUAAAGCAGACGAUUGGAAGAGUCUGUCUAAGCAGUGAGGUGUGAAUUGAGUCAAAUGCUUAAUUCUAUAACAUUGAGCUGUGAUGGGGAGCGAAGUUUAGUAGCGAAGUUAGUGACGUCACACUGCCAAGAAAAGCUUCUAGCGUUUAAACAUACUCUACCCGUACCGCAAACCGACACAGGUAGUCGAGGCGAGUAGCCUCAGGUGAGCGAGAGAACUCUCGUUAAGGAACUCGGCAAAAUGACCCCGUAACUUCGGGAGAAGGGGUGCUGACUUAAAGUCAGCCGCAGUGAAUAGGCCCAAGCAACUGUUUAUCAAAAACACAGCUCUCUGCUAAAUCGUAAGAUGAUGUAUAGGGGGUGACGCCUGCCCGGUGCUGGAAGGUUAAGAGGAGUGCUUAGCGUAAGCGAAGGUAUGAAUUGAAGCCCCAGUAAACGGCGGCCGUAACUAUAACGGUCCUAAGGUAGCGAAAUUCCUUGUCGGGUAAGUUCCGACCCGCACGAAAGGCGUAAUGAUUUGGGCACUGUCUCAACGAGAGACUCGGUGAAAUUUUAGUACCUGUGAAGAUGCAGGUUACCCGCGACAGGACGGAAAGACCCCAUGGAGCUUUACUGCAGUUUGAUAUUGAGUGUCUGUACCACAUGUACAGGAUAGGUAGGAGUCUAAGAGAUCGGGACGCCAGUUUCGAAGGAGACGCUGUUGGGAUACUACCCUUGUGUUAUGGCCACUCUAACCCAGAUAGGUGAUCCCUAUCGGAGACAGUGUCUGACGGGCAGUUUGACUGGGGCGGUCGCCUCCUAAAAGGUAACGGAGGCGCCCAAAGGUUCCCUCAGAAUGGUUGGAAAUCAUUCGCAGAGUGUAAAGGUAUAAGGGAGCUUGACUGCGAGAGCUACAACUCGAGCAGGGACGAAAGUCGGGCUUAGUGAUCCGGUGGUUCCGUAUGGAAGGGCCAUCGCUCAACGGAUAAAAGCUACCCUGGGGAUAACAGGCUUAUCUCCCCCAAGAGUUCACAUCGACGGGGAGGUUUGGCACCUCGAUGUCGGCUCGUCGCAUCCUGGGGCUGUAGUCGGUCCCAAGGGUUGGGCUGUUCGCCCAUUAAAGCGGCACGCGAGCUGGGUUCAGAACGUCGUGAGACAGUUCGGUCCCUAUCCGUCGCGGGCGUAGGAAAUUUGAGAGGAUCUGCUCCUAGUACGAGAGGACCAGAGUGGACUUACCGCUGGUGUACCAGUUGUCUUGCCAAAGGCAUCGCUGGGUAGCUAUGUAGGGAAGGGAUAAACGCUGAAAGCAUCUAAGUGUGAAACCCACCUCAAGAUGAGAUUUCCCAUGAUUAUAUAUCAGUAAGAGCCCUGAGAGAUGAUCAGGUAGAUAGGUUAGAAGUGGAAGUGUGGCGACACAUGUAGCGGACUAAUACUAAUAGCUCGAGGACUUAUCCAA
rnacentral:rRNA from 1 species